rnacentral:SRP_RNA from 17 species
UAUUGGUCCUCUCGCAACACUAGCAGGUGAACCUGGUCAGGCCCGGAAGGGAGCAGCCACAGCGUGUGACGUGUGUGCCGAGAUGCGGCUGGUAAGA